GGCAAGUCGAGCGAACGGACGAGAGUGCUUGCACUCUCUGAUGUUAGCGGCSSAYGGGUGAGUAACACGUGGGUAACCUACCUAUAAGACUGGGAUAACUUCGGGAAACCGGAGCUAAUACCGGAUAAUAUUUAGCUUCGCAUGAAGCAAUAGUGAAAGACGGUUCUGCUGUCACUUAUAGAUGGACCCGCGGUGUAUUAGCUAGUUGGUGAGGUAACGGCUCACCAAGGCAACGAUACAUAGCCGACCUGAGAGGGUGAUCGGCCACACUGGGACUGAGACACGGCCCAGACUCCUACGGGAGGCAGCAGUAGGGAAUCUUCCGCAAUGGACGAAAGUCUGACGGAGCAACGCCGCGUGAGUGAAGAAGGUUUUCGGAUCGUAAAACUCUGUUGUAAGGGAAGAACAAGUACGUUAGUAACUGAACGUACCUUGACGGUACCUUACCAGAAAGCCACGGCUAACUACGUGCCAGCAGCCGCGGUAAUACGUAGGUGGCAAGCGUUAUCCGGAAUUAUUGGGCGUAAAGCGCGCGUAGGCGGUCUCUUAAGUCUGAUGUGAAAGCCCCCGGCUCAACCGGGGAGGGUCAUUGGAAACUGGGAGACUUGAGUGCAGAAGAGGAGAGUGGAAUUCCAUGUGUAGCGGUGAAAUGCGCAGAGAUAUGGAGGAACACCAGUGGCGAAGGCGGCUCUCUGGUCUGUAACUGACGCUGAGGUGCGAAAGCGUGGGGAUCAAACAGGAUUAGAUACCCUGGUAGUCCACGCCGUAAACGAUGAGUGCUAAGUGUUG
rnacentral:rRNA from 1 species